ACGUACAUGCUCUUCUGAAAGAUUAAGCCAUGCAUGUGCCAGUUCAUACAUUACAAAGUGAGACUGCGGAAGGCUCAGUAAAUCAGUUAUAAUCUAUUCGAAAGUCAUCCCAUUGGAUAACCGUGGGAAAUCUAGAGCUAAUACAUGCACUAACGGCAGGCUCAGCUCGCUGGGUCUGCUAGCAUUUAUUGGACAAAACCAAAUGCUAGUCUGUCCACCGGGCAGGCUAGUAGGGUGAAUCUAGAUAACUUAGCUGAUCGCAUGGCCUCGAGCCGGCGACGUUUCGAUUGAAUUUCUGCCCUAUCAACUAGUUGGUAAGGUAGUGGCUUACCAAGGUUACAACGGGUAACGGGGGAUCAGGGUUCGAUUCCGGAGAGGGAGCCUGAGAAACGGCUACCACAUCCAAGGAAGGCAGCAGGCGCGUAAAUUACCCAAUCCAGACAAUGGGAGGUGGUGACCAGAAGUACUGGGUGGUAAACAUUGUUUACUAAUCCCGGAAUGAGCAUAAAGUAAAAAUUUAGUCGAGUAACAACUGGAGGGCAAGUCUGGUGCCAGCAGCCGCGGUAAUUCCAGCUCCAGUAGCAUGUCGUAAAGUUGUUGCGUUUAAAACGCUCGUAGUUGGAUCAUACGGUAUCUUUUAGUUUAUUUGCGCUUAGUGACGCUGAAUCCAUCUUUAUUACAGUUCUCUGGUUAACUCCUCAGAACUUGGUAACGUGUGGAGUCUCUUGCGUGAAAUUUCGCUAAUUGAUACUACUUACACGUGAGAAUAGUGGUUGGCCUCCAGUGCGUCGGCCAUUGUGUCUCACGGAGUGUGCCUUGAAUAAAUCAGAGUGCUUAAAGCAGGCAAACGCCUGAAUGAUACAGCAUGGAACGAACAAACGUGUAGAGUAUGUCGUCGGCGUUCUUGAAACUAUCGUUCGCCGACGACAUACAUCACCAACCGCCAUGUACGGAUGUUGGUUUCCGUAUUGGGGUGAUGAUUAAAACGAGCGGUUGGGGGCAUUGGUAUUUGGCCGCGAGAGGUGAAAUUCUUAGACCGGCCAAGGACUAACAAAAGCGAAGGCAUUUGCCAAGACCGUGUCGAUUAAUCAAGAACGAUAGAGAAAGGUUCGAAGACGAUCAGAUACCGUCCUAGUUUUCUCUGUAAACUAUGCCAACCCGAGAUCAGUCUAGAGUUAUUAAUUACGCUCUAGGUUGGUCCCCCUGGGAAACCUUAAGUGUUUGGGUUACGGGGGGAGUAUGGUCGCAAGGCUGAAACUUAAAGGAAUUGACGGAAGGGCACCACCAGGGGUGGAGCCUGCGGCUUAAUUUGACUCAACACGGGAAAACUCACCGGUUCCGGACGUCAAAAGGAUAGACAGACUGAUAGAUCUUUCUUGAUAUGAUGUGUGGUGGUGCAUGGCCGUUCUUAGUUCGUGAAGUGAUUUGUCAGUUUGAUUACGGUAACGGACGAGACGUAGAUCUUCAGUUACGGUGCGUGAUAGCCGCAGAAUGGAAUGCCCGAAAGGGUUAUUUUGUCCGGCGGCUCUAGUUGUGAGCUCCAGCUGGUAAUCUUGAUUAUUGGCUGGUUUUUACAACUUUUUCUCACGCAAUGACGUAUGCGGCAACGUAUGCGUCUGCAUGAAGAGACAACUGAUUUAAGUCAGAGGAAGUUAUGCAAUAACAGGUCUGUGAUGCCCUUAGACGUACCGGGCUGCACGCGCGCUACAAUGAUGCCAACAACGAGUUAUCUGCUCCGAAAGGAGUGGGAAAUCUUUUAAUUGUCAUCGUGAUGGGGAUUGUCCAUUGUAAAUUGGACAUGAAAUAGGAAUCCCUUGUACGUGCACUUCACUUAGAGUGCGCGGAAUGAGUCCCUGCCCUUUGUACACACCGCCCGUCGCUACUACCGAGUGAAUGGUGUCAUGAUGCGUUGGGACCGGACGUCGUUCAGUUUCGACUGGAUGAUGCUGGGAUCAAUGUAAAAUGGUGCAAUUUCGAGGAAGUAAAAGUCGUAACAAGGUUUCCGUAG
rnacentral:rRNA from 1 species